AUUGAAAGCUGGCGGCAGGACUAACACAUGCAAGUCGAACGAGUGGCGGACGGGUGAGUCAUGUCUGGGAAACUGCCUGAUGGAGGGGUAUAACUACUGGAAAAGGUAGCUAAUACCGCAUACCAUCGGAUGUGCCCAGAUGGGAUUAGAUAGUAGGUGGGGUAAGGGCUCACCUAGGCGACGAGCCCUAUCUGGUCUGAGAGGAUGACCAGCCACACUGGAACUGAGACAGUGUCCAGACUCCUACGGGAGGCAGCAGUGGGGAAUAUUUCACCAGGGGCGCAAGCCUGAUGCAGCCAUGCCGCGUGUAUGAAGAAGGCCGUAGGGUUGUAAAGUACUUUCAGCGGGGAGGCGAUACCCGCAGAAGAAGCACCGGCUAACCCCGUGCCAGCAGCCGCGGUAAUUC
rnacentral:rRNA from 1 species